AUACAUUUGACAUUGGAACAAUAUGAUUCCAUGAUCACGAAGGUGGUUUCCCCAAGGUAAGGCUUAUCAAUUGCAUUCCAUGUGGACUGAUCUCUGUAAUUUUUCCCAAAUGUGGGAAACUUGACUGCAUCAUUUAUGGUAGAGGGGGACUACAUUUAAAAAUUGCCUCAG
ensembl:snRNA U1 U1 spliceosomal RNA